AAAUUCUUGGACAUAUUUUUAACCAUACCAAGACUCUGAUUAUAAAGUGCUGGAAAACAUGGAGUAUAGGGUUUCCUGGAGUUUGUUAUUCAUUGUUUGUUUCCAUGGAGUUUGGAGUGAGAUCAAACUGGAGCAGUCUACUUCUGAGGUGAAGAGACCUGGAGAGAGAGUGAAGAUGUCAUGCAUCAUAUCUGGCUAUACCCUGAGAGACUACUAUAUCAGCUGGAUACGACAGAGGCCGGGGAGAACUCUGGAGUGGAUUGGAAGGAUGGACACAGGCUCAAACUCUGCUCACUAUGCCAGUACUUUCCGAAGCCGUUUUAUCAUUACUGAAGAAAACUCCGGCAGCAGACAGUACCUUGAGAUCAGGAGUCUGACAGCAGAAGAUUCUGCCGUUUACUUCUGUGCCCGACAAAGCACAGUGACAGAAAACAGAGGAAGAGCUGUACAAAAACCCCAACUACUAAAGGGAUCUCACUGACUUAUGGUUUUUCUCUUCACCUGAAAAGUGACCUUGUUGUAUACAAGUCACAGAAAUUUUACUGUAAAACAGAUGAGAAAAUAUCUAUUACUCAUCAUUUCAAUAUUAUAUAAUGAUGCUAAAUUAACACUGUAAA